rnacentral:lncRNA from 1 species
UGUGAAUAUUUUCUUUCUGCCUUCCAUAAAGUAAGGCUCCAUGUUUUGGUUUUGUUUUGCCAUCGUUUCCUCUCUGCCUCCUCCUCACAUCCUACCGCACCACCCUCCGACUCCUUCUGUCCUUCUCUGGAGGAAUGAGUGAAUGGAGGAAUUCAAUAGGGAUGACCUUUCACCUUAUCAGGUAGUAAAACUGGCAACCCUACAGAUAUUGAAAAACAGUUGUGAAAAUGUUGUAUAAAUUACUCCAAAUAUAAC